UACGUAGGGUGCGAGCGUUGUCCGGAAUUAUUGGGCGUAAAGAGCUCGUAGGCGGUGUGUCACGUCGAUCGUGAAACAUUACAGCUUAACUGUGAGCGUGCGGUCGAUACGGGCAUCACUGGAGUUCGGCAGGGGAGACUGGAAUUCCUGGUGUAGCGGUGAAAUGCGCAGAUAUCAGGAGGAACACCGGUGGCGAAGGCGGGACUCUGGGCCGAUAUUGACGCUGAGGAGCGAAAGCGUGGGGAGCAAACAGG
rnacentral:rRNA from 1 species